rnacentral:ncRNA from 2 species
UACUUUCUUCGGGAACAGGUGCAAAUCCUAACCGGCGGUAAUAACCCGCGAGCGAAUAGCUGAUCUGGUGAAAUUCCAGAGUCGACAGUAUAGUCUGGCAGGGAGGAGAAGUUA